GAUGAACGCUGGCGGCGUGCUUAACACAUGCAAGUCGAACGGUGAAAGAGAGCUUGCUCUCUGGAUCAGUGGCGAACGGGUGAGUAACACGUGAGCAAUCUGCCCUUGACUCUGGGAUAAGCGCUGGAAACGGCGUCUAAUACCGGAUACGAGCUGCGAAGGCAUCUUCAGCAGCUGGAAAGAACUUCGGUCAGGGAUGAGCUCGCGGCCUAUCAGCUAGUUGGUGAGGUAACGGCUCACCAAGGCGUCGACGGGUAGCCGGCCUGAGAGGGUGACCGGCCACACUGGGACUGAGACACGGCCCAGACUCCUACGGGAGGCAGCAGUGGGGAAUAUUGCACAAUGGGCGAAAGCCUGAUGCAGCAACGCCGCGUGAGGGACGACGGCCUUCGGGUUGUAAACCUCUUUUAGCAGGGAAGAAGCGAAAGUGACGGUACCUGCAGAAAAAGCACCGGCUAACUACGUG
rnacentral:rRNA from 1 species